GACGAACCGUCCAAACGUUAUUCGGAAUCACUGGGCUUAAAGGGCGCGUAGGCGGCCGAGCGGGUCACGGGUGAAAUCCUCCAGCUUAACUGGAGAACUGCCCUUGAUACCACUGCGGCUCGAGGAAGGAAGGGGUCAUGGGAACUGUCGGUGGAGCGGUGAAAUGCGUUGAUAUCGACAGGAACGCCGGUGGCGAAGGCGGCAUACUGGACCACAUCUGACGCUGAGGCGCGAAAGCCAGGGGAGCAAACGGG
rnacentral:rRNA from 1 species